AACAACCUCUGAGAAUACCCUGAUAAUACAAGAUGUAUGUCUCUACACUUCAUAUGGUUACAUGACAUCUACCAGACUAGAUUGAACUUCUGCAGUGCAUGUUUACCUCGAUGUGAAAAAACUUCUAUGUAUGGAUUUUAAAGGCAGCAACCACAAGGAUAAACUAGAGAGGCAGAGA